rnacentral:lncRNA from 1 species
AAUAAUGUUGUGUAUUCUUAUAUUUUUUAUCCAAAUUUUUAAAAAUAUACUAUCACGAUUCAUGAAAUAACAUCUUUUAUAGAAAUAUCUAUUAAAAAUGACAUUUAAAAACAGAUGAACAACUAUUUGGAAAAAAUGGAUUUGGAAAAUCCGACCACCCACAGCAAAUUCGUGUAGGCGUUGCAUCGGUGCUCGGCCGAGCGCGAAUAAAAUAGUGAGGGAGAACCGGUACUCUUCAAGAGUCGUCAUUCUAUUCGAAACACUUUCUCUGGAUCGUCAAUUGAUCCUGAGGACACGAUUCGAUCCAGUUCAAUGGUUAUGUUCACUGUUCCAUUAUUUUUCAUUCUUCGAUGUAUAAAUAUAUAAUUCGUUUAUUUCAAUUUACGUAUAUUCUUAAUAUUGUAAUUUUAUUGAAAUUUCCAUUUUGAUUGAAACGGAAUUACAAAAUGUUUUUGAGAAUUAAAUAUUAUACGUAUAUAUAAUUCAAGUGAAAUAUUGAACAUAACCUCAACGGAAAAGGAUUAAUUAAAAUCGAAGACGAAGGAGAGUUCACCCGGUGCACAAGGCUACGAUAUUCCUGUUCCUUUUGUCCGCACGGAUCGCUGCUUGGAGCAGCCGAGCUGAAAGUGCCAACGAUUAAUAACAUGAUACGCACGCAGUGAGGAUCUCUCGUACUCGCCAUUAGUCGUAGCCGCGCUCUUAUCGCGGCACGGUCUCUCCACGGUUACGGUCACGAUUUCGGAGACACUGGUGCGCAACCGACCGUGUAAUUUACUGCGAAUCAGCGUCAAUUUAGCGAUACUCGACUAGAUCAUCGCCAACCUCUUUUAUCUAUUCUGUUCGAGUAGAUAGAGCUCAUUGGAAUUAUGAGAAAAGUGUAUUAUUGGAACGAGUUUUUAAGAGUAAUAUAAUUAGAAAAGAGAGGAAACAGAAAUAAUAUGAAAUCGUUAGUAGCAAGAUACCAAUGAGGUAGAAAGGAAAAUAUAAGAGACGAGCGUACAUAGGGAUUAAAUCGUGUACGAGGCUCCACCUAUGAAAAGCAUUGCGCUCGACCGCUUGCAAGUCUAAUGCCACGACUUUUCAUGCAACAUUGUGAGGAGCGUAUGUAGCGCUUCCGUAAUAUUACUUCAAAGAUUAUACGGAACAAGAUACUUUUAUUAAACCAUCCGGGACAGAAAUCUCGUCAGCGGUCGUAAACUUCAAAGUACCGACGAUAAGAACCGUGGGGGACACGAAUCGAUAUCAAGGCGGUGUCCUAUAGGGAAAUUCUCUUUCAUGGAAUGCGGACUCAUUGCCCGGCGUUAUAAAAUUAAGCAUCGCGUUUCAACAUGCAAUCGCGCUGUAUGCUACCAGUUUCUCGCGAUGAUUCGUUCACAGGAGAAUGCAAGCUGAUUGCCUGAAACAUUAUGACUGUGGUAUACAGGAUGAAUAUUUGCUGAUUUUUAAUUUAAUAAUUUUUAUCUAACUUAUCUCUGUUGAUUGGGAAAAUCGAAUUAACUCGUUAUUUAUAUUGUUAAUAUUUUUAAUUUUAUAAUAAUUAUACAUACAUAUGUGUAUGUACAUAUAUACAUUAUUAAAAUUGAGGUUAACACAAGCAUAACUAUAUUAAUUAUGAUUAUAAAUGAGAAUUAUCUACUAUAUUUUCGAUAUAGUAGAAUCAUCGAAUAGAUCAUUACAUUGUGAAUUCAAUCGAAGAUCAGGUUUUAAUACCUCGAACGUGGGAUUAGGACAGUGAAAUGUUGCACGUUAUGGCACUGUCUGGGAAAGGAUCAUUUUCGUUACGUAAUCGCAUUGAGUAGACUAGCUUUUGCACUUCGUCUGUGUCACGGAUAUGUCGGUCCACUGUUGGAUUAUUAACGCCUAUUUUUCUUGACAGUUCUAUAGUAAUUUGUAUAACCUGAUGUCAUAAUGUGAAACGUU